CCGAGGAUUUUAACGAAUUCAAUUGUUGUUUUGUUGUUCAGUUUUAAUCGUUGAAGAAUCGUUAAGCUAUUUAUUCUAAUACUGUUUUCAGUAUUUCGUCCCUACCGAAAUAAGAACCCAUUUUGAAUUUUUAAAUAGCAACCUCCUCUUCCUCUCAUUAAAUCACAAACUUAAAAAGAGAAUAACAGUAACAUCAGACGUAUCAUUUAUAAGUUAUAAGAGUCUAAAUUCUAGACUGGAGGGACAGGAAAAAGUAAUAAAUUGUGUACCUAUUUUUAAACGAGUAAUUGAUUACUCUGGCCGCAAACAAUAGAAUUGA